GCGGUUGUGGUGGAAUUGGUAGACACGCUACUUUGAGGGGGUAGUGAGGAAUCCCUCGUGCCAGUUCGAGUCUGGCCAACCGCA
rnacentral:tRNA from 1 species